rnacentral:tRNA from 1 species
GCUUGCUUAGCUCAGUAGUGAAGAGCGUUUGCCUUACAAGCAAAAGGUCACUGGUUCGAAUCCAGUAGCGAGCA